GACGAACGCUGGCGGCGUGCUUAACACAUGCAAGUCGAACGGAAAGGCCCUGCUUUUGUGGGGUGCUCGAGUGGCGAACGGGUGAGUAACACGUGAGUAACCUGCCCUUGACUUUGGGAUAACUUCAGGAAACUGGGGCUAAUACCGGAUAGGAGCUCCUGCUGCAUGGUGGGGGUUGGAAAGUUUCGGCGGUUGGGGAUGGACUCGCGGCUUAUCAGCUUGUUGGUGGGGUAGUGGCUUACCAAGGCUUUGACGGGUAGCCGGCCUGAGAGGGUGACCGGCCACAUUGGGACUGAGGUACGGCACAGACUCCUACGGGAGGCAGCAGUGGGGAAUAUUGCACAAUGAGCGGAAGCCUGAUGCAGCAACGCCGCGUGCGGGAUGACGGCCUUCGGGUUGUAGACCGCUUUCGCCUGUGACGAAGCGUGAGUGACGGUAAUGGGUAAAGAAGCACCGGCUAACUACGUG
rnacentral:rRNA from 1 species